CCUACGGGGUGCAGCAGUGAGGAAUAUUGGUCAAUGGGCGCUAGCCUGAACCAGCCAAGUAGCGUGAAGGAUGACUGCCCUACGGGUUGUAAACUUCUUUUAUAUGGGAAUAAAGUGCAGUAUGUAUACUGCUUUGCAUGUACAUUAUGAAUAAGGAUCUGCUAACUCCGUGACAGCAGCCGCGGUAAUACGGAGGAUCCGAGCGUUAUCCGGAUUUAUUGGGUUUAAAGGGAGCGUAGGCGGGUUGUUAAGUCAGUUGUGAAAGUUUGCGGCUCAACCGUAAAAUUGCAGUUGAUACUGGCAGCCUUGAGGACAGUAGAGGUAGGCGGAAUUCGUGGUGUAGCGGUGAAAUGCUUAGAUAUCACGAAGAACUCCGAUGGCGAAGGCAGCUUGCUGGACUGUAACUGACGCUGAUGCUCGAAAGUGUGGGUAUCAAACAGGAUUAGAUACCCUAGUAGUC
rnacentral:rRNA from 1 species